rnacentral:tRNA from 1 species
GAAGCAGUGUCGAAACGGUAAACGAUUGGGUGUAGAGUUAUACACGAAGUCUCCGGCAAGAAUGAAAUGCGCAAACCGGAUUGACACGUGCAAAGAAUCCCGAAUAUCUCUGCUUGCAGGUUCGAUUCCUGCCUGCUUCA